CCAGGGUGAAGAAUAAAUAAUUCUUCACCCCGGUCGAUCGACCGAGCCAGACCAUGCCUCCAGCCAAGGCACCGUUUUGCGAUUGGGGAAAAGCUAGCCCACUGUCCCUCGCUGGAAAAUUAUAUUGAGGUUGAAGUAAUUUUACGUUUCAAGCAUUGACUCGAACACAACCCCACCUUCCUGUCCUUUUCUAAACUGCUGCAAACAAUUUUUGUUUUUUUAAAGAAGAAGAGUGGCGAACCGUAUCGGCAGUAUCGGUGGCGCACGGCGGUGCCAUGGGUAGGUGGGGCAGCUGCCUAGGUCUUGGGCGGCGCCGUGGUUGGUGAUGGCGUUGAAGUUUCAGCCCGUGCUGCUCGGUGGCAGUGGUGGCCUCGGCUGUGUGGUGAACUCUCUAGGUUCCUCGAGGCAGUGUUGCGGGGCUGCACCGCUCUACGCCGGCAAUAGCGGUCUACGACGGCGUCACGGUGAGCUCUCGACAUUCUGAUGCAUUGCCAAGAUUUAUGCCCCUGUAUUUCUCCUCCCUUUUCUCCCAAUCCAGAAUUCUACUUUCCCUAUGGAACUUAGGCGUAUUGACUUGCCAGAUGUGGCGGCUGCUAUGGUGCUAGGUUUUGGCCUUUCUCAGAUUCGGCGCAGGUUGUUGCAUCCAUACAUGAAGUUUUACUCGUUUCAAUUUGGCUGCACAAAUUUUAGUACGGGCCUUCACCGGAUUUGAUGUUGGGGACAAAUCAAGAGCUUCUGUUUAGAUCUAGCCUACAGAUGCUCCCAGUCCUCCUACUAAGCUCCUAUUUUCAAUAAAUAGUUUACAUUCGGCGGUUUGUGUCUGAUGAAUCCUUCGUUUUGAGUCCCCAUAUGUUGCAUGUUCUAAUAAAUAGCCAUGUUUCUUCUUUAUUAUGAAUAAACUCCAUCUUUUUUCCUUGGAGCUCCACUAUUUUGGAUGAAUUGGACUGUCCCCUGCUACUGAAAAGUACCAUGUCUGGCCAUUUAAACUUAGAAUCGAAUCGGGGUGCUGCUACUGUAUUAGGUUGACCAUCCAGUCAUUGUGAAUCUGCUCUGUUGCACAAGAAGGCAUAGUAAGAAACCGGGAAGGGUGGCACCCCAAUAAGAAGCACAAAUCAUUUAAGCCCAAGUAACCGUGAUCUCAAUGCACAAUAUCAUUGCCUUGCUGAUAGUGAGUAUAAUGUUUUGUCACUUCAGUUAGUCGAAACACUGCUAUUGGGGCUGAUCAUACCUUGAAUUGAUCAAAAUUUGAACCUUUCGGUUACCUCAUAUUGCUAAAGGACACAAAUGUGACUUUUAUUAAACUUUAAUCGUCGUCAUAAAAUUAUGGAUUUUCACUUUGACCGGAAGUUGUUGAGGAUAUCUGUGGAAGGCUUCAGAACUUUUCUCUAGGUGCAGUUCAGAACACUAGUGAGACAUGGUAGCAACUACAAAAAAUUUAGGAUGCAAGAUCACGUUUUCUAUUUCCAAUUCAUGGUGCAUUUGUAGCUCUUUGUCAACUCUAUGAAAGCACUGCAUACACCUGCAGUACACUGAACUUUUUUAGGUUUGGUUAUCAUUUUUUACAUUGUGCUUCAGUCGAGUAAUGAAUGGUUAAGUACCUAUUUAUUGCUACUUUUGAUCUGUUGAUACACACUGGACAGAAUGAUAUAGCUGGGCACGCUCCUAUUCUCUUUAUUCAGAAUGACAUCCAAUGAACUUGAGGUUACACUGGCAUUUGUGUGACUAACAGCUACUCCUUGGAUGAUUACGUGUUUCAGAAUGAAGAUGCUUGAUUAUGUGCUUCAGAAUGAAGAUGCAUGAUUAUGUGCUUCAGGAGCUGCUAGUCGUACCAUAGAAGCAAUUAAUGAACCUCUUCUCGCUAUUUUAAUUUCAAGUGCAAUAAUCUGCUGGAGGUGUUUUCCAUUCAGACAAGUGAAGUUUUGCACCCUGCAAAUGUGCAGAUGUAUUCUGGAAGAAGAAAAGCAUACCCAGUAAGAUGCAAUCCUUGCCAUCUUACUGAGCAAGUUCAUUCAUAUUAUUUUUAGGUCCUCCUUGACAAUGUAUUUGAUCAAUUGUCUAAAGAAUUCCUGGAUUGUCAGAGUAAAAUAAAGUACGUUCAGAAUACUGUUCUUGAUUCAGUAAAAACAAUUACCUAGUUUAACCCGAGCUAUUGUGUUGAAGAACAUACACUGACAAUAAGGAUUGAACUUCUCACAAUGGUAAUGAUGAGUGUGCAAGGACUAUUAAGGUCAUAUAGGUCUAAUUAAAAUUAUCACAGAAAGGAGAGGCGGAAGCUGAGCUCCGCUCUUUUUCUGUCCAGGAGAGAAGUGUUUUUCUCCUUAAAACCUGCACUUCUUAUUGGUUUUAUAGGAAAAAAAAUCUAUGGCUCUAUUGAUUGUAGGUUGUUUAGUAGUGCACUACUAGUACCAUGCCAUACCAUUGGUUUGGACUGAUCGAAGGCAAGUUAAAGGUCAGUUAGAUAAAUGCCGCUACUGUACUCGCACAUCUUAUAUGUCAUUUAGAUUUGUACACACUUUGUAAAAGUGUGACUUCUGUAGGAAAACUCUUCAAUCUGACGUUGUUGUUCAACAGGUCGUAGAGAACAAAGUAGUCAGGCUUCGACCAGAUGUCCAACACCUCCAGAACCUUGAUUGUUGUCUUUCAAAAAGAAACUUGAUUGGUUAUCGUACAUGCCUAAACUCUAUUCUAGAAAGUAGUGCAUGUAAUCAUUAGUUCUAUGAGAGUAUGGAGAUUGAAUUUGCUAUAUUGCAGUCUGGAGCAUACUUCUUUCCAUGUGCAUAUAGGCUUUAUGUGAUUAAUCACCCUAUCACAAGUUCUUCUAGUAUUUGGAUGAAUCCUCUAAGAUAAUUCUGAUUUAAGUAAAUAUCAUCAAUCCACCUAAUGGGAGAAGCUUUAUAUUUAGUUCGAUCAAAACAUUUUCUUUGAAUCUACUUGCCUUAAUCUACUAUCUUUUUACAGUAACAUUCCGACCUAUAUCUGAGAAUUUUGUAGCUUCUUUAUUUCAACAGUAAUGAUUCACUAAGCUCUUAUCUUACCACAUGUUCCAUUUUAUUCUCCGCAUUUUAGAUAUAGCACCCCCUAUUCACCAAGCUCCUAGCACCCUGUGUUUUUAGAUCAAGCCAUUCUUCCGCAAAAAAUAAUUGAUUUGUUGGUCUGAAACCAAAAUAUUUUUGAAAGAAACUAAAUUGUACUACUACUAUCUGCUCAUUUUCUACAAUCUACACUACUACAGCAGGUGGUACAUGCCAGAGAACAUAUUGUUUAUACCUUGAAUCACGUGCUGUUAUUUUCGUUCGUAGCAUUCAUGAUUUGAGUCUCUAUAAAGGUAUCUGAAAGACUAAAAGAGAACAUAUUUUUGAUAAAUGAUGCGUAAUGCCAGAACAGUUGCACACUUGCUUCCUAUACUAAUCAGUUUUUACACUGUAGGUCGCUCAUCUGUAAGUACCCUGAUAACAGUAGACUGAUAUUAAUACAUUUGAAAAUAUGGAAACACACAAAGAUCUUUGACAGCACAGUUAUGCUGAGAGGAGUUUCAAUCUAGGAGAGCUGCAGGCGGGUUGUCUUCUUUCUGAAUCAUAUUUUUGUUGCUUUCUCCCUACUCGGACUGUAUUGGAGUUCUCUCUGGAGUGUUGUGUAAUCAGCUCUGAGGUCAUGAGUAGAGUCCCAGUUCUGUUUUUCUCAAGAGCUGACCUUGUAAAUACUAGCUCCAUGUUUCUUAGAGAUUAUCUAUAAAUUAUUCCCUCUAUUUCAUAUAGUUCAGCGAUAGGCCCUUUGAGGUAAAACUACUCCAUAUAUAUUAAAGAAGUCAAUGUGAGGUUAUUGGAAAUUUCAGUCACUAGUCGAGGAAGAAACUUUUGAAUAAUCGAGGAUGCAAUUCCAUAAAUGGCACCUCCAAAUAAAUUUCCAAAUGAGAAUUUACUACAUCAAAUCCAUGGCGCCUAAUGAACAGGUCUAGAUUAAAAUAGAGGAAAAGGAGAGAGUAUGAAUCACUAUCUAGUUGUUUUUCAUGAAGCAGAAAAUAUCUUUUUAAAGAAGACAAUCAGAUGCAGAUAGAAAGGGUCUUGCGAUGCAUGGAGCUCGUGCAGAUAGAGGUAGUAUAGCCUGCGAGGUAAAUUUACCUCGCGAACCUAUUAUUUCUUUCAGCAGCUGAAUUUGCAUGCGUGAGGAAAAUUUACCUCACAAGCCUUGCUUCUUACGGCAGUGCUCCAUAGUACGUUCCUUUCUCCCUGUUGUAAUCUUACAUCGGGUGUUUUUAUUUCUUACGUUUUAAAGUUCUGGCCGUGGGGUGGCUGGGGUGAGGAAUAAUAAUUCCUCACCCAGGGUAACGCUAUUCUAAGCAUGAAUGUAGAAUAGCUUAUUCUACACCCGCUAGUAACGCUAUGUACAAAAUCUAGUAAAACGGUGUAUAAAAUAUACUAAUUUGAAAAAAAAAUUAUCAUCCAAGUUUGUAAUUUACUACAUUUUUACGAAAAUUACUAUAUUUUAUAUAGUGUGUUGCUGUAUUUUGUAUGUAUCGUUACUGGGGUGUAGAAUAAGCUAUUCUACACUCACGCUUAGUUUAGCGUUACUAUAUAUAUCCCGAUCUCUCCAACAUAUAGAGCUUGCCAAAGGAAAAAGUAUAAAAAGGAAAGGUGAUGAUCACCAUGACUCUUGUAUAAGGGUAGAAGAUAAAAGUAAAAGAUAGGCCCUUCGCAGAGGGAAGCAGAGGUUGUCAUGCGCUUUUGUGGUUGGAUGCACAAAAUCAUAAUGCAAAAAACGUCACUUUAUAUUGCCGCUUGUGAUAAGGACAUUUAUUAUGCAAUCUGUUGUUUUUAUUUCUUCCAUAUCACAAGUUCAUACAAAGCUUAUUUCCUUCACACUAAUAGAUCAUACAUAUUUAGAGAGCAAUUUUUAUUACUUGCACCGAUGACAACUUACUUGAAGGAUCUUACUCAAUCCAUAGGUAGAUAUGGUGGACUCUCAUGGAAAAACUGGGUUUAGGGAUGUUUGGAAGCACAAGUAGUAUCUCUACUUGGUGCAAGGAAUUUGGCUAGUAUGAGAGGGAAAGGCAAGCUCAACAUGUUAGAUGAUCCAUGACUAUAUUACUUAUAUUUGGAUAUAAGAAAAAUAUAACCUAUUAUGUUGUCUUCCUUGUCCACCAUCAACUUUUUAGCAUGUCAUAUUUUAAUGAGUGCUCACAAUUACAAAAGAUGUCCAAGAUAGUAUAUCUAUAUGUGAAGCCUCUGUUUCUUUAUUACUUCUUAUUAAUUGCAAUAAUGACCAAAACUAUGUUUGUCAACUCUCAACAACUUUUAUUCAAUAUACUCUUUAUAUGUGAAGUCAUUACUUUCCAUAAGAUCAAUAUAUGACCUUUUUAUUUAUUCUUUCUAUUAUUUAAUUCCCUCAAGAUCAUAGCAAGAAAGAAAAGCCCUCAACUCAAAACUACUCUUUAUUAUAUAUUUCACGGACUGGAUUACAUAGAGGGAACAUAAAGCAAAAAUCAAGGCUAGAUCAUACUAAAACUUUAUUCUACUAGAUCAAGAUAUAACCAAAAGGAUCGAACUAAGGAAAACAAUAAAGAUAAAGAUGUGAUGGUGAUACGAUACUGGGUGAUACGUCCAUUUUGCAUCAUGUUCUCUUACUGUUAUUUAUAAUGUUUUUAUCCAUAAUAAUGCUUUUUAGAGUAAUUUUAAUGCCCUUUCUCUCAUAAUUUACAAGGUACACAUAAAGAGGGAGAAUUUUGGCAGCUGGAAAUCUGGAGCUAAAAAAGCUACGUCAGG
rnacentral:lncRNA from 1 species